AUUUAAAUAGCUUAAAUUAAAGCAUGGUAUUGAAGAUACCAGUAUAGUUCCUAAACUUUUAAAUA
rnacentral:tRNA from 1 species